AAUGAACGUUGGCGGCGUGGAUUAGGCAUGCAAGUCGCGCGAGAAGUCAUUUAGCUUGCUAAAAGGCGGACAGCGGCGGAAGGGAGAGUAACGCGUGGUUAUGUACCCUCGAGACCGGGAUAGUGUCGGGAAACUGGCAGUAAUACCGGAUAACAUCUUCGGAUCAAAUGGUGUGAUUCCGCUCGAGGAUUGGACCGCGUACUAUUAGCUAGUUGGCGGGGUAAUAGCCCACCAAGGCUUAGAUGGUUACCGGGUGUGAGAGCAUGGCCCGGCUCACGGGGGCUGAGACACUGCCCAGACAUCUACGGAUGGCUCCAGUCGAGAAUCUUCGACAAUGGACGAAAGUCUGACCGGGCGACGCCGCGUGCGGGAUGAAGGCCCUCGGGUUGUAAACCGCUGUCAGUUAGGAGGAAAUCCAUGAGGGUACUCUCUCAUGGUUGACCGAUUUUCAGAGGAAGGACGGGCUAAGUUCGUGCCAGCAGCCGCCGUAAAAC
rnacentral:rRNA from 1 species